UCCCUGGAGGACUAGUGGUUAGGCUUUGGCGUCCUCACCACCUCAGCCCGGGUUCGAUUCCCAGCCAGGGAA